UGGGGAAUUUUGGACAAUGGGGGAAACCCUGAUCCAGCCAUCCCGCGUGUGCGAUGAAGGCCUUCGGGUUGUAAAGCACUUUUGGCAGGAAAGAAACGUCAUGGGUUAAUACCCCGUGAAACUGACGGUACCUGCAGAAUAAGCACCGGCUAACUACGUGCCAGCAGCCGCGGUAAUACGUAGGGUGCAAGCGUUAAUCGGAAUUACUGGGCGUAAAGCGUGCGCAGGCGGUUCGGAAAGAAAGAUGUGAAAUACCAGAGCUCAACGUUAGAACUGCAUUUUUAACUCCCGUGCUAGAGUGUGUCAGGGGGAGGUGGUAUUCCGCGUGUAGCAGUGAAAUGCGUAGAUAUGCGGAGGAACACCGAUGGAGAAGGCAGACUACUGGGAUAACACUGACGAUCUUGCAAGAAAGCAUGGGGAGCAAACAGG
rnacentral:rRNA from 1 species